ACCUGCAUACGGCCGGCAUAUCUUUGAUGCCGUCUUACCUGGUAGUCUUAGGUGUCGCGUUUGUUAUGCCUAAUACUGUCAGGUAAAGAUGUCAGCUGGAUGUGCCUUCGUCAUACUUAAUAG
rnacentral:precursor_RNA from 10 species